UCCGCGAUAGCUCAAUGGUGGAGCACUCGGCUGUUAACCGAUAGGUUGGAGGGUAAAAGGUCUAAAUGACCUUUUACGGGC
rnacentral:tRNA from 1 species